UUGAUGACUCUUGACAACGGAUAUCUUGGUUCUCGCAUCGAUGAAGAACGCAGCGAAAUGUGAUACUUGGUGUGAAUUGCAGAAUCCCGUGAACCAUCGAGUCUUUGAACGCAAGUUGCGCCUAAAGCCUUUAGGUGGAAGGCAUGCCUGCUUGGGCGUC
rnacentral:rRNA from 1 species